rnacentral:tRNA from 1 species
GGUGCGUUGGCUGAGUGGUUAGAGCGUAGGUCUCGUAUCCGAAAGGUCGUGGGAUCGAAUCCCGCUAGAGCUG